AUUUGACCUCAAAUCARGUAGGAGUACCCGCUGAACUUUAAGCAUAUCAAUAAGCGGAGGAAAAGAAAAUAACAAUGAUUCCCCUAGUAACUGCGAGUGAAGAGGGACAAGCUCAAAUUUUAAAUCUGUUAGGUUUACCUAACCGAGUUGUAAUUUGAAGAGGCGUUUUCUGUGUUUCUGAUCAGCCCAAGUCCUUUGGGAUAGGGCAUCAUGGAGGGUGAGAAUCCCGUUCGGUUGGUCAGAUUCGCUUUACGAUACGUCAUCUAAGAGUCAAGUUGUUUGGGAUUGCAGCUUAAAAUGGGAGGUAAAUUUCUCCUAAGGCUAAAUAACGGCGAGAGACCGAUAGCGAACAAGUACCGUGAGGGAAAGAUGAAAAGAACUUUGAAAAGAGAGUUAAACAGUACGUGAAAUUGUUGAAAGGGAAACGAUUGAAGCCAGUCGUACCUUCGGGUAAUCAGCCUUUCGGGUGCGAUUCUGUGGAGCGUGAGGAGUUAAACGCCUUCAUGCCUGCAUAUUCGUGCACUUUGGGUGUACUUGCCCGUGUGGUAGGUUAACAUCAAUUUCGGAUAUCAUAAAAUGGCUGGAGGAAUGUAGCUUCGGUCUCGUACUGAAGUGUUAUAGCCUCUGGUAGAUGUGAUGACCGGGAUUGAGGAUUGCAACGAAUACCUUUUGGGCUACCCGCCUGAUCUCUGAAAGUUGCUCUGGUGCCGAAAGCUUGCUUACGGUUAUCAAAGUUGACGUUCAAAAGGUUAGAACGGGUUAAAUUCGUUAAGGAUGUUGACGUAAUUGGCUUUAAACGACACGUCUUGAAACACGGACCAAGGAGUCUAACAUAUAUGCGUGUGUUU
rnacentral:rRNA from 1 species